rnacentral:rRNA from 1 species
GAUGAACGCUGGCGGCGUGCCUAAUACAUGCAAGUCGAGCGAACAGACGAGGAGCUUGCUCCUCUAACGUUAGCGGCGGACGGGUGAGUAACACGUGAAUAACCUACCUAUAAGACUGGGAUAACUUCGGGAAACCGGAGCUAAUACCGGAUAAUAUAUUGAACCGCAUGGUUCAAUAGUGAAAGACGGUUUUGCUGUCACUUAUAGAUGGAUCCGCGCCGCAUUAGCUAGUUGGUAAGGUAACAGCUUACCAAGGUAACGAUGCGUAGCCGACCUGAGAGGGUGAUCGGCCACACUGGAACUGAGACACGGUCCAGACUCCUACGGGAGGCAGCAGUAGGGAAUCUUCCGCAAUGGGCGAAAGCCUGACGGAGCAACGCCGCGUGAGUGAUGAAGGUCUUCGGAUCGUAAAACUUUGUUAUUAGGGAAGAACAAAUGUGUAAGUAACUAUGCACGUCUUGACGGUACCUAAUCAGAAAGCCACGGCUAACUACGUGCCAGCCGCCGCAGUAA